rfam:Streptomyces ambofaciens ATCC 23877, complete genome.
CUUGACCGAGCCCAGCCAGAGCGGGCGGUCCUCGUCCCGGCCCUGUCCGUACGUCGCCAACAGGGCCUGUGCCUC